UACCAGCACCCCGAGUGGUCGGGACGUUUUAUUGGGCCUAAAGCAUCCGUAGCCGGUUCUACAAGUCUUCCGUUAAAUCCAUCUGCUUAACAGAUGGGCUGCGGAAGAUACUAUAGAGCUAGGAGGCGGGAGAGGCAAGCGGUACUCGAUGGGUAGGGGUAAAAUCCGUUGAUCCAUUGAAGACCACCAGUGGCGAAGGCGGCUUGCCAGAACGCGCUCGACGGUGAGGGAUGAAAGCUGGGGGAGCAAACCGG
rnacentral:rRNA from 1 species